UAUCAUAGAACAUUGACCAAACCAUUGUCGACCAAUUGCAACUUCAGGUGUUGUUUUUCGUUUUUCAUCAAAUAUCAUAACGAAUUAAGUCCAAAAUGUUGGAAACUAAUGGAGAUAUUUAUUUCGAAGUCCUUGCCGCCCUCCAAUGGAAAUCAGCCAGCUACUGGCGACUCAACCAAAUCUGCUAUCUUUUCCACCAAUACUUCUUUCUCAUAAUUGUGGGCUAUAACAACUUGCUUUCCCUAUUCGGCAUAAUUGUCUUCUCUUAUAUACUAUUUUGUUACUGCAGCAAGCGGUACCGUAGCUCCCAUUUAGCUCCGGACCAACAGCUUAUCAUCACCUUAGUAUGCGGUGUUCUGAUUUCGAGUGUAGUUGCUCUAAUCACUGGUCGCGUUUUUGUCAGUACUGACAAAUAUGUUCAUUUCCAUGCAAAUACAGGUGACAAUGAUAAUCAAUCGACAGCAAAAUUCAAUCAGACUGACCAUGAUGCUUGGCCAAAUUUUGUUCUCGCACUCAAUGGAAAUGUCCGAAUUUUCUACUGCGAUUCAAUGUAUUACUUUCUUCUUCUGCUACUGGCCAUAUAUAGAGACAGUUUCAAUAGGAGUUCCAACUAUUGUUACACAUUGUUUUCCGAAUGGAAAAGUCUCAAAUAUCUCGCUAUUUUUAUUCUGGGUGGAGUCAUCACAAUCGCGAUUACAAUGCUUUUUCAGUUCAUGCAAAUGGGAAACAAAAUUAGACUAAUUCUGUGGGUAAUUUACAUGUUAGUAUGGCAUGCAUUCUACAUCACAACGUUAGUUUUGAUCUGCACGUACUACCGAAGAACUGCCAAGAAUAUUCUUCUUAACAUCGGCAACACGAAAUCUUCGUCUAGCUCCUCGAUGGAAUCGGAGGAACACUGUAUGCUUAUCGAGUUCACCCCUACUAACAGUGAGCAAAUGCAAAGGCGCGACCGAAAAUACGUCUCACAUCUAAGGUCUUUCAUUCGAAUCGUGUGCCCUAUUCUAAUUGUCAACUACAUCUGCCGGGCUGUUUGCUCCAGCGACAAGCUUCGUUUCCAGUUGUCGGAACUCAACAUCAUCAAAGCAACGUCUUCAUGCCAAGACACUAAUCCCCUAAUAUCAGUAAUAGAGGACGUGUGUCUACUGUUAAGCUAUCUUUUGUCCGAACUUGUCGACACUUUGGUCAAGCUCUAUAUUUUGUUGCUCUUGAAAACCAACGACCAGUUCAAAACACACGUGACGCUUCCCAUUCGAGACAUCAAAAGAAAAUUUUAACAAAACCUAUCAAGUUAAGGCCAAGAUGUUGACAUUAUCGGUGACCUUGAACAACCUCAUCGGUCAAAAACGAUGCAAUUUUGGUUAGUUAGAUUUUUGAAUGGGAUUUGAGAAUAAUUAAUAAUUAACUUUGUUUAGAUUUUCUGACCAAAAAUGAUGCCAAUUUGGCAUCAACUAUACGAAAGAAACUGCGAACAGCUAG